rnacentral:rRNA from 1 species
CUGGGAUUAGAUACCCUGUUAUUUAAAAUGUAAUUAUUAAGACUAAGGUAGUAUUAGAUAUGUUCUUUAAACUUAAAAAAUUUGGCGGUAUUUUAGUCUAUUCAGAGGAACCUGUUUUAUAAUCGAUAAUCCACGAUGGACCUUACUUAAGUUUGUAAAUCAGUUUAUAUACCGUUGUUAUUAGAAUAUUUUAUAAGAAUGUUAAUUUUCAUAAUUUUUUUAAAAAAAUAUAUCAAAUCAAGGUGUAGCUUAUAUUUAAGUAUAAAUGGGUUACAAUAAAUUUAUUUAAGCGGAUAUAAAUUUGAAAUAUUUAUUGAAGAUGGAUUUGAUAGUAAAAUUAUAUAGAUAAAUAAUUUGAUUUUAGCUCUAAAAUAUGCACAAAUCGCCCGUCACUCUCUGA